GCCAAUGUAGCUCAGUCGGUAGAGCGGUUCACUCGUAAUGAACAGGUCAUCGGUUCGAUUCCGAUCAUUGGCUCCA
rnacentral:tRNA from 1 species